CGGGCUGCAAGGAGAAGGUCAGUGAUUGGCUGAAGGGAGAACACCCUGACAGUGGUCAGCAUGGACGUAGGGCCUCAUGUUGAUCGAGGGGCUGCAGCUCGUCCUCGUCGUGCAGCUGUACGGCGCCGUCGGCAGGAAGACGGCAGCCAGGAAACGAGCCGUGGCCGAUGAGCUGGACUACGGAGAGACGAACUACGCCUACAGCGAUCCUCAGGAUGGUUACACAGACCCCGCCCACCCUGCACAUCACCAUGACUACCCGAACUAGGAGUAAACAUACCUGGAGAGGACCAAUCAACGGGCUUCUUAAAGAAUCAAUAAAGUCAUAAAAUAUGUUGUGUAGAAGUUAAAUGUUAGAGAGAUCUCCCAAUUCAGGGGCACACACACACACACGGAUGGGGGGUAGCUAGAUAUCUGCGGGGCUAACGCUGGUACUGGCCCGUCCUGCUCAAAGAGCUAAAAUACAAGGAACUACUUCUGGCUCUAUAUUUCGGUUGCUGUAGUUAACGAUUUAAUCACUACUGAGCUACAGCUGUCACGGUUGCUAGGUGACAGGAGUGGCGCUUUGACGCCAACAGGAAAUGCUCUGCAGAUCUGACCAUCUCAUUUCGGAGACCGCUCGGUUCAGCCUCCGUGGGAUGUGAAGGCUGCGGCCCCUGACAUGGGACACUUCUUCAGCGUAUUCCCCCUGAACAUACUUCCUGUUUAAAUAAAGUUUCAUGUUUCUAAUUA